rnacentral:rRNA from 1 species
UACGUAGGGGGGCAAGCGUUGUCCGGAUUUAUUGGGCGUAAAGAGCGUGUAGGCGGUUAGGUAGGUCCGUUGUGAAAACUCGAGGCUCAACCUCGAGACGCCGAUGGAAACCAUCUGACUAGAGUCCGGAAGAGGAGAGUGGAAUUCCUGGUGUAGCGGUGAAAUGCGCAGAUAUCAAGAAGAACACCCGUGGCUAAGGCGGCUCUCUAGUACGGUACUGACGCUGAGACGCGAAAGCGUGGGGAGCGAACAGG